rnacentral:rRNA from 1 species
GUCUAUGUCCAUACCACCCUGAGAAUGCCUGAUCUUGUAUGAUCUCAGAAGCUAAGCAAGGUCAGGCCCAAUUAGUACCUGGAUGAGAGACUACCAAGAAUACAGGCUUGCUGUAGGCU